ACAGCCUCCAGACCGGGUGUUUCUGAGAGACCAUGUUAAAGAUUCUUCAUUCCAUUUUGUUUUAUUUUUAAGGACAGUUUUUUUGUCUCAAGCCAAUACCUCCCUGAGGCCAGCUUCAAGACAUGGGUAGCUGGCCUCUUUGAGUGGACAGAUUCAUGAGCAGGUGCACGCGUGGGUCAUGGACAGACUGACUGACCAUAUCUGGGGCCAAGGAAAGAAAAACGGGCAGUUAAGCUUUGAGCUGCCUCAAGUUCCUGGUUUCAUCUCAGGUGCAGCUCACAAGGCAGUAAAUGAAGCAGGCCCUGCAGGGUAAACACUGCAAACAGUCACCAGAAGCAGCAUUUCUGAAAACCACGGACCUGAGUAUGAACAUAGCUUCAGGAUACCAGACAGAUUUUCUUAUUUAUUUGAAAGAGAAUGAGAAUGAGUAGGAAGGACAGAGGGAGAGAGAAUCUCAAGCAGACUCCACACUGAAUGGGAAGCCUGACAUCGGGUUUGAUCUCUUGACCCUGAAAUUGCGAUCUGAGCUGAAAUCAAGAGUUGGACACUUAGCUGACUGCACAACACAGAAAGAGCAGGAGGAGGAAGAAGCAAGGUGGCACAAGAUGGAGCAAAAGACCUAAGUAUCGUCUGGUCCCAGGAGUUCAGCUAGAUACUUAUCAAACCAUCCUGAACACCUACAAGCUCAACAGGAGAUGGAAGAGAAGAAUAGCAGCAACUUUACAAACACAAAAACCACCACUUUCUGGAAGGUAGGACAUGCCAAGAAGUGAAUGCAAGGUGAUAUACAGGAAGCUAAACCGUGGGGGGGAGGGGGCUGGAUCCCGGCAAGCGGUAGAGCAACAGGGCACAAAAUCGGACCUUGUACAAGUCUGCUCCACAGAGGGACGUCAGUCCAGAGGCUAAGCAGGGGGUGGAGCCCUCACGGGGACAGUGUGGUCUCAGGACCCUUGGGGUCACAGAAAGACUGGGGGUGUCUGAGCGCAGCCCAGCUCACAGGUAUCAGAGCGGGGAAGCUGGGGGCAAAGACAGAGCCAAGAAGAGGGCUCGCAGCUUGGGGUUACCUUAAACCAUGAUCUGACGCCCAGUCGGGGCACUGCUCUUUGAGCAGGGACCCCACGAGUGGCAGAUCCGGGGAGACUCACCUUCUCUAGGAGGAGUAGUGCAGGAGCGCGGCAGGAAUCUGCUGGGUUUGGAGACUCCAAACAGGGCUUGGUGCCAGAGAUAGAAACAGCCCGUCACAGGCCGGGGGAGCUCGGAGCGUGCUGAGACCAGGGAGAUGGGAGGGACUGACGGCUUUUCUGCAAGGUGCACUGAGGAGUGCGGCCCUGAGCGCUCCGCAAUCUGGGCCCAAGACUGGGGGGCCGCCAUCUUCAUUCCCGUCCUCCAACGCCGUACGGAAAGCGCUCAGGGAAGAAAAGCUCCGAGUGCGAACUGAGCAGAUUACAUAGCCCGGCCCCUGGCGAGGGCGGUGCGGUUCAGCCUCCGGCAAAGACAUUUGAGAAUCACAGCGACAGGCCCCUCCUGCAGAAGAUCAGCAAGAACGUCCAGCCAAGACCAAGUUCACCCACCAAUUCAGAGCUACAGGAACGCAGCACAUAGAAUGCAUGGCUUUUUCCCCAUGAUUCUUUAGUCUCUCAAAGUUAAAUUUUUAAAAUUUUUGUUAUUGGGUGCCUGGGUGGCUCAGUGGGUUAAGCCGCUGCCUUCGGCUCAGGUCAUGAUCUCAGGGUCCUGGGAUCGAGUCCCGCAUCGGGCUCUCUGCUCAGCGGGGAGCCUGCUUCCCUCUCUCUCUCUCUCUGCCUGCCUCUCUGUCUACU